AGGUGCGCUUUGCUUCCUAACCCGUUGCCGGGUUGGAGAUUCCACCUCCGAAGUUUUCUUUCUGACUUUUGAUUUUACAUUCCUAGUACAGUGGAGAAGCCCAGGCGGCCUAGAAUCCAGUGUCGUCCGUGAGUGCUUGGCUGGUGUUCAAGUGCAUCUUCCAGCCUGAGACCGCGUGGACUCGCUCAUCGUGAGGGCGAGAGGAGGAUAAGCCCAUUGGGCUGUCGGCUGAGAGUGAGGUGCGGGACCAUCCACAAUAUUGUUUGAACAUCUGAAGACAUGGGGAACUUGCCAUCUGAUAUCUGAUAACAGACUUCCUGUAAAGCAGGACUGGUAGUUUCCUGAUAACAAAUUCUUCAAUAUGAAGAUUGCUGAUGAAAUCCUUGGCAUCGUCGGAGAUCUCAUCGAAUGCCUCGUCGUCGAAGUCCCAGGUGGCUGAGGUAACGUUGGCCAAGGUUUCGUUAUCGUUGUCUCCCAUGAAGGGGGAAAGGCCACUGACUCUGGAGAGACAAGAGCAGGACAGCAGGUGUGGCUAGGAGAGGGCGCGACGACCAGACAAGUGGUUCAAGUCCUCUCAAGACCCAGCUAAGGAAGUAAAAAAACCUGAAGAGGGAUGGAAGACAGACCCACUAUUCCUCCCAGAGAAGACUGCCUGGAGACCAUGUGAUUGGCCACAGUUGGAGUUGUGUGGGCUUAUAAACGAAUGCACUCUGCCAACUGAUCUUCCUUCUGCUUUGGUCAAGAAAAGAAAACUGAGAAAUGGGUGUUGCAGAAGAGGUGCCAUUUGUACCCUACCCUGUUACACAUGUCUCUUGGCUGAAAAUGAGAACCUAUACAUGACAUAUGUGAUACGUAAGACUUGUCACACAAGAGAAGAUGCAAAAUUUGGGGCGAGGGACUUUAAUUCCAAGUAAAACUCCAACAUUUUUAA
rnacentral:lncRNA from 1 species